rnacentral:rRNA from 1 species
UACGGAGGGUGCGAGCGUUGUCCGGAAUCAUUGGGCGUAAAGGGCGCGUGGGCGGCUUGGCAAGUCUGACGUGAAAGCCCGCGGCUCAACCGCGGAUUGUCGUUGGAAACUGCCUCGCUAGAGUCCGGAAGAGGAGAGCGGAAUUCCUGGUGUAGCGGUGGAAUGCGCAGAUAUCAGGAAGAACACCCGUGGCGAAGGCGGCUCUCUGGGACGGUACUGACGCUGAGACGCGAAAGCGUGGGGAGCGAACAGG